CUUGGAGUAGCUCAGUGGCAGAGCAGCAGGCUCGUUACCUGCAGGGCGCGGGUUCGAUUCCUGCCUCCAAGU
rnacentral:tRNA from 1 species